CCUGCAGGUUCUCCUGCUUUUCUGCGUCUUGUCCCUGUCCGCGCUAGCCCAGCUUGGGCCUGGCCACUAACACAUGGGGCCAUAGCAGAUGGCACAGGGGACCGGUUCCUGUGAGCCGUGGGGGCAGCAGACAGGAGAGGCCUGUGGGUUUGGGAGCAGAAGGGGCCCAGCGUGCAUUACCGCGCGGUCAGUGACGCCAAGGGGCUGUGGAGGAGAACUGGAGGAGCGAGAUCCGUGGGUCUCCUGCUCUCCAAUGCCCUGACCACGCUCCACGGCACUGAAGCCGGGACCAGAGGGCCAAGGGAUCAGUCAUCCCGAACUCUUCAGUGCCAGGGAGCUCAGCGCUCACAGAAGCAGCCCGUUCUGGGUUUGGAAACCGGUGUCUCCUGGAAAGAACAGACAGGGGACAAACUCCUAUUCAUCCCUCAAAGCCCAGCUCAGAGGUACCUUCUCACGGGAAGCCCUUCACAGCUCUCUGCCUAGAGACCUGCCGUGGCACCGAGCCCACCAUCUGUUCUAAAGUGAUUCCUGCACCCCCAAUCCUGUGUCUAACGAACCUGACAUUCAGAGGAAAUGUCUUCGGGAAAGGUCACCAGAGGGAGGCGGCGUUCUCGCUGACAGCACCUGUCCUUCCGGCACGGGCAGACUCUCCUUCAAGACAAGUGCCUGUGCUCCUGUCCCUCGGAGCUGCCCCUCCCCACCAGCUGCCUCUGCUCCUUCAACCCUUCAUCUGGAAAGACACGGCUCAGGACCCGCCUCAUUUGUCUGUUCAUGGUCCCUACUGGCCAUUGAGACACAGGGACGACUCCGAUCCCAGCCCUACCUGGCAGGGCACCCGGGAGGGCAGAUCCUGAGAUCACGGCUCAGGGGCGGGAAAGAGACGAGGCGGGCAAGGGAGGCAGACCCUCGUGAUGAGACGUCACGUGCCCUGCGCUCAGAAGUUUGACCUUCGUCCUGAGGACAAUGCCUAUGUGAUUGUGUGAAUGGCGCCCGUGAGCCAGGAAGCACUACGAGGCAGGAAGGGCGUCUGAUUUUGUCCCUAUUGUACUGCCAGCACCAGCACAGCUGGCCCAGAGAAGGUGAAUCAUUGCUUAAAAUGCAAACAUUCCCAAGUCCUGGCUCAGCUUGCCCCCUCCCCAUCCGUGUGCCCGAGGAGCAGUAAUUGUGCGGGGAUGCAAGUGCUCAUUACAUGAACAGAGGGCAGCGUGGGACAUAAAUCUAGAAAAUUGAAAGAUUGGCCCCUUCCAGGAACGGGAACCAUGGUCACCAGCAACUCCUGCCUCACGUGUUCCCUGAUUCAUCGUCUUCCUUUGGUUCUGAUUGGCCAAACCUCAGGGGGUGACUUAUCCUCUGGAGUUGGGUUAUGCCCUGCCCAUGUGGCCAGGGGGCGGGAGCAUCCUCUGACUGACAGCCAGGGCUGCAUGCUGGCCUGGGGGGAGGAGGGUUCUCCAGAUGAAGGGCUUUCUCUUAGGGAGGCAUAGAUGGGCACUGAGCAGACACAACAAUAUGCAUCUGCCACGGCCACGGUUGUGUGUGACAGUGUCCCUUUGGUACAAGGGCCCCUGCCAUUUCUCAGAUUCACGAGCUGACCUUCAGGGCCCAGGUUAGCAACCUUCGUCCCCACCUCCCUUUCUGAAAUGAAGGGGUAGCAUCCCAGGAGGACGACAACCUGCCUCUCCACCUUAAGUCGCCCUCCCCUCUGAUCCCGUCAUGUGAUGAAGGGGUCACCACGAGCUACAGUCUUAGCUGGAGGGCAUGAGAGGAGAGGAGAGGCCUGACUACCUCACUGAGGUCUCAAUUAAGAUCGGCAAUAAGGAAUCAUUGCAAAUGCUCUGCUCAAGAUGCAUUGUAAAGAGUGAUUCACUCUGUGCCCAUUUCCUGCUAGCCCUGAAAGCUAAGCAGGGGCUGCCUGUGCCGCAAUAAAUGUCACUAUAUGAGCAUUA